GCGCGCGGGUGCUCCAAGGAGUCGGAGGAACGCGGCCGCGCGACGGGCCCCGGACGCCGAGGGUGGUGCUUCCUCCGAGCCUCCGGUGGUGAGGCCGCUCUCAGAAGGUCAUGGAAGCGCAGGGGAGAGCGAGGCGGCCGAGCCCAGGCAAAUCCUCGAGAAAGGCCGAGUGCGCGACGGCUCUGCGGGGAGGACCGCGCCUCCCCGAAUGCGGCCGCUGCUGCCGCUGCAAACAGUGCCUUGAGGAGAGGAAAGCGGGGAACCGUGUUUUCGCCGCCUCUGUAACCACUGCACACAAGAAAACCAGCUUCUGGGAGAGGGGGAUGAUUGUUGGGACUUUGCGAAUUACCUAAACAGCCCAGGGCCGAGGCGCCGCCGCUCGCGUCCUGGUCCUCCUGCCGGGUGUGGGGCUCCCCUGCCCGAGAUGGCCAGCGGGCGCGCCGAGAGUAUCCUGGAGCCAUCUAGUCUUGCCUCGGAGGCGGGGUGGGCUUAUUUGUGCGGAGAAGAAACGGAUCUCUUAAUGGGGUGAGAUUUUUCCUCCGUACAUUGUUCCCAUUUCCGCAGUUUCACUUGGCCUCGGUUUUCUAGCAGAGUAAUCACCAAAUGAAAUUAGCUGGAGAGCGUUUGAUGGCGCAGAAUCACGGUCUGAAGAUGUUUACGCUGUAUGCCGGACGCGUUUGAUGGUGUUCUCUUCGGCACAAUUAAUUUUGCAAAGUUCAGAAAUGUGCCAGACAGAGCCCCUGGCACGCAGUCAGGACUCUACAGACACACCUUGAGUAGGAAACAGGCUUGUUUGUUUCAUCUGUGAUUUAUGUGAUGCACCAGCACCAAGGCCAACGUGUUUUUUAAAGACCUUUCGAUGAAACUCCAAAGCAAUUUAUAAAUUGGCAAAAUGAAGCUUGUUUUGUAAAAUAACUCUUCCUUGUUGAUCAUGUAAUUAAAUGGGCAACAAAACACCUGAAAGGACAUUUACUGAAAAGUAGACUCCCAAAACAAAAAUAUGUAUUUCACAGCUAGAUACGGUCGCUAUUAGCGUCCUAAUGGCCAACUCCAUCCAUGUGCGUAUUUUGAACACUAAAAACGCCUCCUGUUACCCCUAAGACCUUGUUUGGAUAACAUUUUUCUAUUAUAAGUACUCGAAACCAACCCCAUUUAAGAUGUUUACCCUUAUUCUUGAGUCCUUGAUGGUUUGGGAAAUUUAUCAUUAUUCAUAUUGCACAAUCCUGUCACUGUCUUUUCCAUUAGGCACAGUGCCUAAGGUCCACAAUAUUUUUAGAGGCCCACAAAAAAUAUUUUAAUUUCUUUUCAAAUCAGAAGGAAAAAAAAUUUAGGUUUAAGAAAGUAUUUUAAUAUAUAUUAAUAUAUUUGUUUUUGUGCUAAUACAAUCUUAAAAUGUAUGUAUAUAUGUGUGUGUGUAUAUGUAUAUAUAUUUUAAUGGAGUAAGGGGCUCAACGAAGGCAAAAAGGCCUAGAGCCCAAGAAAAACAUGAUGUGGCCCUGUUGCCUGGGGUUGAAAAAUCCCAUUCCAUGAGAAGAAUUUAGUUUUAAGAAUAUUACAUAAAAUGCUCAUUUCUGUGGCCUUGCUAUAAUAGAAAGAUGGAGAUUCAGAGUAGUGAUAAUGGCUAACAUCCACCUGAUACACACCAUGUGUCCAUUACCUCUUAAUCCUCACAGCACACCUGUGAAAUAGGUACUAUUCUCACACUUAGGGGGUAAUGCAGGUUUUGUGGGGCCUGCAAUUUAUGCAAUUUGGGUGGUCCUCUUAAAGAAAAAGCAAAUACUGUGUAUUAGUCCGUUCUCACACUGCUAUAAAGAACUGCGCGAGACUGGGUAAUUUAUAAAGGAAAGAGGUUUAAUUGACUCACAGUUCCACAUGGCUGGGGAGACCUCAGGAAACUUAACAAUCGUGGUGGAAGGAGAAGCAAGUACCUUCUUCACAAGGAAGCGGAAAGAAUUGUGAGCGGAGGAACUUGCCAAACACAAAACCGUCAGAUCGCGUGAGAAUUCAGUUACUAUCACGAGAACAACACGGGAAAACUGUCCCCAUAAUCAAGUCAUUUCUCUCCCUAACAAGUGAGGAUUACAAUUCAAGAUGAGGUUUGGGUAGGAACACAAAGCCUGACCCUAUCCCACAGCAUGUCCAGGCUGCCCUAGCACCACCCAAUAGAAGGGAAAAUGGCAGAGGGAAAGUCCUAGUGGAAAGAGACCUCAGUCUCAGCUAAUUGUGGUGACAAUAUAUUGCUUUUGCAAAUUGUACAUAAACAUAUGACCAGGUGAAUGUAUCGCCAAGGCUCCUGCCAAGGCCUGGGAUGGAGGCCUAGAGAAGAUGCCCGAAAGUUUAUGCUGUGUGAGCUUCACAGAAGACCUGCCUUCCAUGUAUACCCAUUUUACAGGUGUCUGUGCGGUGCAGAAACUGUACAACUGUAUACAGUGACCAUUUCUACUCUGGGUCUCUAAACAAGGGCUGGUAUCGUUACAGAGACUGAAGACUGAGGAAGACCAUCUCUGUAGGAUGCCAAGGAUUGACUGGAGAAAGUCUGGCAGAAUAGAACGUCUUGCACAAGAGGAGUGGAACAGCGGUCAGAGCAUUACAGCUGACUCAUCUUGACCAGAGAAGGUUACAGCUGGAGGCCCCAGAGAUUGCCCACUUCCCCCCUCCAUUUGACAGCAAGGGAAACAAUGGCCAGAGAGGAUCUGGAACUUUCUCUCAAUUUCAGUGAAGGCCAGAGGUAAAAUCAGGAUUGUCUGAAGACAAGUAAGGUCAGGUGCAUAGGGUUAUAUGUAGGAGUAUAGUUAACAGGUGUCAGAAACUUGGAUUUAAUUUAGAGGUGGUUAGGACAUGCAUAAUAUUUUUCAACUAUGCGUGAAAUCUGGGAUUCUGCAUUUAUUUAAAAUAUAGGAUUGUCCAUUAAUUCUUUCUCUUGAGAGGGCGCUUCUUUCAGAAAUGAUCUAGGCACUUACAAACAUUUUAAAAAUAUAUACACGUGAGAUCAUACUUUCAUAGUGAUAUAAGCAUCAUUGCUCAUAUCCCUAAUGAACAGAUGGGGAAAAGGAGGUAGAGACAGAGAGAGAGACAGAGAGUCAGCAACUCACCACAAGAAUCUCCUGGUUGCCUGUCUGGGCUUCUGUCAGCUCCAUUUAGUUGAAUUUCUAUUCAAUAUUAUUACUGAGGUCUUAUACUUAAGAACAUGUUCUUUGGGUUUCCUGCUUAUCUCCAAGCUGAAGAAUUUAUUUUCUUCUAUUUGCUUUUCCAAUCUUCAGCUUCCAUGACCUUAAAAAAAAAAGUACACAAACUGAGCUGGUCUAAGAGCAGCCUGUUUGCAACCUGAUAUGAGACCUGGAAUGCAACCAGAUAAACCUUGGUGUAGGGUUCUCUAAACACAUUCAACAUUUUUUCCAAGAGGCAAUCGGUUUAUUUCCUUUGAAAUGCUUGAUGAUGAAUUAACAGUACAUUUUCGAAACUAUUGAAAGAGCAGAGGUAAAAUGGUAGUUAUACAUGUCGGAAUGGGAAAUAGAGAACUAUGGAAUUUAUCUUACUUUGAAGCUUAAACCCCUUUUAAUAUUCCUUGUAUUUAGCCACAUGUAUUUUUAAGGUGGAAAUUAGUUAAUGGAAUAUUCUCAUAGUCCAUACUUUUUAUUAAGGUUGAUGUUUGAUGAACCAGAUAAUGUCUACUCACUUUCUGCUUUAAAGUUUAUAAUUCUUGAUAAAAGGAAAAGUGGUGAAUUAUGUGAGCCAACCCUGGAAAGUAUUUCCGUAUUGAGUUUUGUUUGUUUCAAAGAACCUACUGUACAUAUGCAAAAAAA
ensembl:lncRNA LIFR-AS1 LIFR antisense RNA 1